ACGCUGAACAUGUCGCCAAGAGAGCCUUGCACUUCUAUUCCAGAUAUGGGGAUCAAUUACGAACAUUUCCAAAACCAAGUGGGUUAAGGAGAGCGCCGAGCCCACCACCAACCCCAGAAGAGGAAUUAUUCACUCCUCGCCGAACAAAUGUUCCCGUUCUGACAUCCUUUGAGAAAGAGAUGGUGACCGCAGCUGCCAGCGAUGCAGG